rnacentral:rRNA from 1 species
UAGGGAAUAUUGGUAAUGUGCGAAAGCGCGAUCCAGCAACGCCGCGUGCACGAUGAAGGCCUUCGGGUCGUAAAGUGCUUUUAGAGAGGAUGAGGAAGGACAGUACUUUCUGAAUAAGCCUCGGCUAACUACGUGCCAGCAGCCGCGGUAAAACGUAGGAGGCAAGCGUUAUCCGGAUUUACUGGGCGUAAAGCGCAUGCAGGUGGUUUUGUAAGUUGGAUGUGAAAGCUCCUGGCUUAACUGGGAGAGGUCGUUCAAAACUACAAGACUUGAGAUUGGUAGAGGAAAAUGGAAUUCCGGGUGUAGUGGUGAAAUGCGUAGAUAUCCGGAGGAACACCAGUGGCGAAAGCGGUUUUCUGGACCAAUUCUGACACUCAGAUGCGAAAGCUAAGGUAGCAAACG